UUCCAAAUACUGCAGGUAUGAUAGGGCCACUGAGUUUGCUGGGUCCCCCAAAGUAUUGGACCCGAUGACGCCGAUCAGCGAUCUGCAACAUCGAUACACCCCUAGGGUUUUCCACGCACACCAGUAAACCGCCGGGCAUGUUGCCUUGGCGGCUCUAUUCAAAACCUAUGGAGUUGUACGCAAUGUCUGAUCGUCAGACCGGUAUUGUCAAAUGGUUCAAUGAUGCCAAGGGCUUCGGCUUUAUCAGCCGCGAUGACGGCCCGGAUGUGUUUGUUCACUUCCGCGCCAUCACCGGCGGUGGCUUCAAGAGCCUGCAGGAAGGCCAGAAGGUGACCUUCAAGGUCGUCCAGGGCCAGAAGGGCCUGCAGGCCGAGGAAGUCAGCGCUGUCUGAGCGUUGAAAUCCUGUACCAGAAAAACCGGGCUCAGGCCCGGUUUUUUUUU
rnacentral:sRNA from 1 species